UCUACGUAUAGUGUAGUGGUUAGGCAUUCCAAGGCUUUCUCCAUUGAUCCCCAACCUAGGUCGGCGAUAUUUAACAAGCUUGGAGACCUAGGUUCAAAUCCUGGUGCGAGAA